rnacentral:rRNA from 1 species
UGCCAGCCGCCGCGGUAAUACGGAGGGUGCAAACGUUGCUCGGAAUCAUUGGGCGUAAAGCGCAUGUAGGCGGCUAUGUAAGUCGGAUGUGAAAGCCCUGGGCUUAACCCAGGAAGUGCAUCCGAUACUGCGUAGCUAGAGUACGGGAGAGGAUAGCGGAAUUCCCGGUGUAGAGGUGAAAUUCGUAGAUAUCGGGAGGAACACCAGUGGCGAAGGCGGCUAUCUGGACCGAUACUGACGCUGAGAUGCGAAAGCGUGGGGAGCAAACAGGAUUAGAUA